UACAGAGGGGGCAAGCGUUAUUCGGAAUUAUUGGGCGUAAAGGGCGCGUAGGCGGCUUUGCAAGUGACGGGUGAAAGCCCUCGGCUUAACCGAGGAACUGCCUGUCAGACUGUAAAGCUUGAGACCGGGAGAGGUGAGUGGAAUUCCCAGUGUAGCGGUGAAAUGCGUAGAUAUCAAGAGGAACACCUGCGGCGAAGGCGGGUUGCUGGGCCGACACUGACGCUGAGGCGCGAAAGCCAGGGGAGCGAACGGG
rnacentral:rRNA from 1 species